rnacentral:lncRNA from 1 species
AGCUGAGGUGUAGGUCGCGGAUGCUACUUGCAUCCCCUGUUGCUGUGGCUGUGGUGUAGUCUGGCAGCUACAGCUCCGAUUAGACCCCUCGCCUAGGAACCUCCAUAUGCAGCAAGUGUGGCCCUAAAAAGACCAAAAAAAAGGAACCAUGCCGCACGAUGUGAACUGUGGCACAUGGGCCACAGCUAAUUGGACCAGGGGUGAGCACCUGAUCCAAGAGCUGCCUCCCUAUUGGUUGGGCCAACUAUCCUAUGAGAUAGCUUAGCUCAAGAGCUUGUGCUGUAUGAACCAAUCAAAUUCCUCUGCUUAGGGAGUUUGGCUGGAAUGGAGUGGGAGCUGGGAGUCUGUCAGAGAAGCAGAAUGACACAGAAAGAAAACCAAGGACAGAGAGAGAAAUUGGUCCUUCAGUGGUGGCAGAGCGGAGUCGGACCCAUGAGCACCUACUGGGGUGACUACUUGAUCAAUAUCCGCCCCAGGGUUUGGGAGCCUCUGUCUACAGCCCCUCACCUGGUGAGCACAGCUCAGGCUCUUUCAGAGGCGAAAGGCGAAGCCUGGAACAGUGAGGUUGCUCACCCUGGUCCCAAGAAUUGCUUGAGACAGAAGCCACAACUGUGGUAUUCAUCAUUUUUUGUCAAUCAACAAGCACUGGUGGAGCUUCUUGUAGGAGCUGGACAGCCGGCAGUGGAUAUAAGGUGA